GCAACUUCCUAGCUGUGUGACCUUGAGCAAAUGACUUAACCUCCCUGAGCCUCAGCUUCCUCAUCUGUGAAAUGAGGAUAAGAAUAUUAGAGGCACCUACAUCAUAGCAUUGUUGCGGCCUGGCAUCUAGCUCAUGCCUGCAUGGAUCUUACCACAGGGCCUGGCACACAGGAGGCACCAAACAGCCCUCAGCCUGUGUCAUGCAGGAUUCAAAGGAACCUUGGCAUUUAUCUCCCAAACACAACAUGGCAACCAGACAUCUGGCUGUGAUACAAGCCCGGCACCACCCGCCCCCUCCAUGGCUGCUGCCCUUUCUCCCCUGGAGCAGCUCAGGAAGCCUGCACACCCACCUGCAGCAUGAAGAGACCUGGGACAGCGCCACCCCCCAGCAUGGGCACCAGAGCAUGGGGGACUGGGAAAGAGGAGAUGCCUGCCCAAAGAGAAUAAGAGAGCAAAAGAGGGAGGGAGAAAGAAGAGUGUGUGGGUGGAGGGGUGGGACAAUGGGCCAGAGGCAGAGAAAAAAAAAAAAAACUAAGAAAAGGAAGAAAAUGCAUGAAGAGGAAAAUUUGAAGGGAGCAAGGUUGGGGGAGGGGGAGAGAAAAAGUAAAUGAAUAGAAAAAAGAAAAGAAGAACAAAAUGGAGAAAAGAAAGUGAAAUAAACAGGCACAGAAUUAAACCAAACAGAAAGAUGUAAAGAAAAAUGUAAUCAAUUCAUUAAGCCAAGGUUUUUGAUUUGUUUUGCUUGUUUGUUUGUUCGUUUUGAGACAGAGUUUCACUCUUUUUGCCCAGGCUGGAGUGCAAUGGCGUGAUCUUGGCUCACUGCAACCUCCAUCUCCUAGGUUCAAGUGAUUCUUCUGGGUUCAAGUGAUAGUCCCAGCCUCCUAAGUAGCUGGGAUUACAGGCGUGUGCCACCACUCCCAGCUAAUUUUUGUAUUUUUAGUAGAGUUGGGGUUUCACCACGUUGGCCAGGCCAGUCUCGAACUCUUGACCUCAGGUGAUCCACCUGCCUCAGCCUCCCAAAGUGCUGAGAUUACAGGUGUGAGCCAUCAUGCCCAGCCAAGCCAACUUUUAAGAAGAACCUACACCGCCUGCAGACACCAGGAGCAGGGAGGGA
rnacentral:lncRNA from 1 species